rnacentral:rRNA from 1 species
GAUGAACGCUGGCGGCGUGCUUAACACAUGCAAGUCGAACGGUGAACACGGAGCUUGCUCUGUGGGAUCAGUGGCGAACGGGUGAGUAACACGUGAGCAACCUGCCCCUGACUCUGGGAUAAGCGCUGGAAACGGCGUCUAAUACUGGAUACGAACCACGAAGGCAUCUUCAGUGGUUGGAAAGAAUUUCGGUUGGGGAUGGGCUCGCGGCCUAUCAGCUUGUUGGUGAGGUAAUGGCUCACCAAGGCGUCGACGGGUAGCCGGCCUGAGAGGGUGACCGGCCACACUGGGACUGAGACACGGCCCAGACUCCUACGAGAGGCAGCAGUUGGAAAUAUUGCACAAUGGGCUAAAGCCUGAUGCAGCAACGCCGCGUGAGGGAUGACGGCCUUCGGGUUGUAAACCUCUUUUAGCAGGGAAGAAGCGAAAGUGACGGUACCUGCAGAAAAAGCGCCGGCUAACUACGUGCCAGCCGCCGCGGUAAUAC